CUUGGAAGCUGAUUUAGAGCAUCUUUAGGUGAUGGAGGAUGGCUCCAUCCCUUGGUUUUCCCAUUGAGAGCACGGCUGGGAUGCAGGAAUUGGGAUUUCAUGGCUCCAUGCUUUGCUUUCCCACUUGGAAGCUGGUUUAAGGCAUCUUUAGGUGAUGGGGGAUGGCUCCAUCCCUUGGUUUUCCCAUUGAGAGCAAGGCUGGGAUGUGGGAAUUGGGAUUUCAUGGCUCCAUGCCUUGCUUUCCCACUUGGAAGCUGGUUUAAAGCAUCUUUAGGUGAUGGAGGAUGGCUCCAUCCCUUGGUUUUCCCAUUGAGAGCACGGCUGGGAUGCAGGAAUUGGGAUUUCAUGGCUCCAUGCCUUGCUUUCCCACUUGGAAGCUGGUUUAAGGCAUCUUUAGGUGAUGGAGGAUGGCUCCAUCCCUUGGUUUUCCCAUUGAGAGCACGGCUGGGAUGCAGGAAUUGGGAUUUCAUGGCUCCAUGCUUUGGUUUUCCUACUUGGAAGCUGCUUUAGGGCAUCUUUAGGGGAUGGAGGAGGGCUCUGUGCCUCAGUUUCCCCACUGAGAGCAGGAUUGGGAUGAGGGACUUGGGAUUUCAUGGCUCCAUGCCUUGGUUUUCCCACUUGGAAGCUGCUUUUGGGCACCUUUAGGGCAUGGGGGGGGGUCCUGUGCCUCAGUUUCCCCAUGCUCAGCCCCACUUCAACACUAAGGGAGCUUCCGGGCUCUGUUUCCC